rnacentral:rRNA from 1 species
UACGUAGGGUGCGAGCGUUGCCCGGAUUUAUUGGGCGUAAAGGGCGCGCAGGCGGCUACGCACGUCCGUUGUGAAAUCGCUCGGCUCAACUGGGGAGGGUCACGCGAUACUGAUCGACUCGAAGGCAGGAGAGGGUAGUGGAAUUCCCGGUGUAGUGGUGAAAUGCGUAGAUAUCGGGAGGAACACCAGUGGCGAAGGCGACUACCUGGCCUGUUCUUGACGCUGAGGCGCGAAGGCUAGGGGAGCAAACGGG